rnacentral:rRNA from 2 species
UGAUUUUAUGCUUGCAUAAAUGAUUUUCGGAUCGGAGCGAGUGGCGAACUGGUGAGUAACACGUGGGUAACCUGCCCCGAAGCGGGGGAUAACAUUUGGAAACAAGUGCUAAUACCGCAUAAUUAGUUGGAACCGCAUGGUUCCAACUUGAAAGAUGGCUCUGCUAUCACUUUGGGAUGGACCCGCGCCGUAUUAGUUAGUUGGUGAGAUAAAAGCCCACCAAGACGAUGAUACGUAGCCGACCUGAGAGGGUAAUCGGCCACAUUGGGACUGAGACACGGCCCAGACUCCUACGGGAGGCAGCAGUAGGGAAUCUUCCACAAUGGACGAAAGUCUGAUGGAGCAACGCCGCGUGAGUGAUGAAGGUUUUCGGAUCGUAAAACUCUGUUGUUAAAGAAGAACAAGUGUUAGAGUAACUGUUAACACUUUGACGGUAUUUAACCAGAAAGCCACGGCUAACUACGUGCCAGCAGCCGCGGUAAUACGUAGGUGGCAAGCGUUGUCCGGAUUUAUUGGGCGURAAGCGAGCGCAGGCGGUUUUGUAAGUCUGCUGUGAAAGCCCUCAGCUCAACUGAGGAAGUGCAGUGGAAACUACAAAACUUGAGUACAGAAGAGGAAAGUGGAACUCCAUGUGUAGCGGUGAAAUGCGUAGAUAUAUGGAAGAACACCAGUGGCGAAGGCGGCUUUCUGGUCUGUUACUGACGCUGAGGCUCGAAAGCAUGGGUAGCGAACAGGAUUAGAUACCCUGGUAGUCCAUGCCGUAAACGAUGAAUACUAG